AGGAAAAGCCCCAGAUCCUUCUGGCCUCCACCCAGCAAUCCUUCCCUAGAGAAGCCAGGAUUCAGUGGAAAUUCAGCAACGGGAUGGAAUUGCUGGGGGAAAUCAUCAUUUUUAACAAGCAAUUCAGGAAAUGCUGACUCAUGCUGACAUUUAAGGACCACACAAAUAGACAAACAAAUGAGCAGACUGGAACAGAAAAGUAAACUCUCCCAGAGUCACACGGCUACUCAGGAAGGAUAGCUUCAUAGUCUCUACUCUUCAUGAGACACUCUGAAAACCCACUGCGAAGGAAGCUGAGAUAUGAAUG